rnacentral:rRNA from 1 species
GAUGAACGCUGGCGGCGUGCCUAACACAUGCAAGUCGAACGGACAGACGAGAACUUGCCUGCUCUCUUGUUAGCCGCAGACGGGUGAGUAACACGUGGAUAACCUCCCGAUCUUACGGGCAUAACUGCGGGAAUCCGGAUCAUAUACCGGAGAAUAUUUUGUACCGCAUGGUGCUAGAGUGAAUGACGGUCUUGCUGUCACUUGUAGACGGACCUGCGCUGGAUUGGAUAGUUGGUAAGGUAACGUCUUACCAAGGCGACGAUGCAUAGCCGACAUGAGAGGGUGAUAGGCGGCCUUGGAACGGAGACACGGUCCUGAGUCCUACGAGAGGCACCAGUAGGGAAUCUUAGGCAGUGGGCGAGAGCCUGACGGAGUGGCGCCGCGUGAGUGGUGGAGGUGUUCGGUUCGUGAUACUCUGUUAUUAGGGAAGAACACAUGUGUAAGUAACUGUGCACAUCUUGACGGUACCUAGUCAAAAAGCAACGGCUAACUACGUG